UGGGGAAUAUUGCACAAUGGGCGCAAGCCUGAUGCAGCAACGCCGCGUGAGGGACGACGGCCUUCGGGUUGUAAACCUCUUUUAGCAGGGAAGAAGCGAAAGUGACGGUACCUGCAGAAAAAGCGCCGGCUAACUACGUGCCAGCAGCCGCGGUAAUACGUAGGGCGCAAGCGUUAUCCGGAAUUAUUGGGCGUAAAGAGCUCGUAGGCGGUUUGUCGCGUCUGCUGUGAAAUCCGGAGGCUCAACCUCCGGCCUGCAGUGGGUACGGGCAGACUAGAGUGCGGUAGGGGAGAUUGGAAUUCCUGGUGUAGCGGUGGAAUGCGCAGAUAUCAGGAGGAACACCGAUGGCGAAGGCAGAUCUCUGGGCCGUAACUGACGCUGAGGAGCGAAAGGGUGGGGAGCAAGCA
rnacentral:rRNA from 1 species